rnacentral:rRNA from 1 species
CCUACGGGCGGCAGCAGUGGGGAAUAUUGGACAAUGGGGGCAACCCUGAUCCAGCCAUGCCGCGUGUGUGAAGAAGGCCCUCGGGUUGUAAAGCACUUUCAGUGAGGAAGAACGCCUGGUGGUUAAUACCCAUCAGGAAAGACAUCACUCACAGAAGAAGCACCGGCUAACUCCGUGCCGGCAGCCGCGGUAAUACGGAGGGUGCGAGCGUUAAUCGGAAUUACUGGGCGUAAAGCGCGCGUAGGUGGCUUGAUAAGCCGGUUGUGAAAGCCCCGGGCUCAACCUGGGAACGGCAUCCGGAACUGUCAAGCUAGAGUGCAGGAGAGGAAGGUAGAAUUCCCGGUGUAGCGGUGAAAUGCGUAGAGAUCGGGAGGAAUACCAGUGGCGAAGGCGGCCUUCUGGACUGACACUGACACUGAGGUGCGAAAGCGUGGGUAGCAAACAGGAUUAGAUACCCGAGUAGUC